AAUGUAGUGGUAUUUCUUAAUAUUUUAAAAUGUGUGCUGAUUCAUUUCUUUAUUCUUCAGAGUUGAUAGAGAGGAAGCAAAAAUCACUGCUUGGGAAAACCUGCAGAAGGCGAAAGCUGAGGCAGCAAUACGGAAACUGGAGAUGAAGCUGGAAAAGAAGAGAUCAUCAUCCAUGGAUAAAAUCAUGAACAAGUUGAGAUCAGCUCAGAAGAAAGCGCAAGACAUGAGAAGCUCAGUUUUAGACGACCAAGCACAAGUUGCAAGAACCUCACGCAAAGCUUUAUCAUUCCGAAGAACUUGUCAUAUGGGUUCUUUGAGCGGUUGUUUUACAUGUCACGUUUUCUGAUGCCUUCCAGCCACAUGUUGCUCCACUCGAGCGAUAAAGCAAGCCUAAAAUCAGGACACACAUGAACGGUGUACAGCAGUUAGCAGCUACUAUUUUGACACUUGAUCAGCGUCAACGCAGUUUUAUAGUGGCACGAAGCACCAAUGCCCGAAGUUCAGUUUUAGAUGACCCUACCUGGUGAGAAAAUUCUUGGUGAUUCAGUGACUAAUAAUGCUUGUGUGUAUGUAAAUCAAAGACUUCAGAUUGUAUACUAUGUUCAAUUUUUUUUCUAAACUAUGAAGCCUCUUGUGCAAAUGGAACUACAAUCGUCUUCUCUAUAGUUUUCUCAAAACAAGGAUCAAUUAGAUUGCUCCCCUUACGAUUUUGUGA